rnacentral:rRNA from 1 species
AUUGAACGCUGGCGGCAGGCCUAACACAUGCAAGUCGAGCGGAGCGGCGGACGGGUGAGUAGUGCCUAUGAAUCUGCCUGGUAGUGGGGGAUAACGUCCGGUAACGGGCGCUAAUACCGCAUACUAUCAGAUGAGCCUAGGUCGGAUUAGCUAGUUGGUGGGGUAAAGGCCUAGCAAGGCGACGAUCCGUAACUGGUCUGAGAGGAUGAUCAGUCACACUGGAACUGAGACACGGUCCAGACGCAUACGGGAGGCAGCAGUGGGGAAUAUGGGACAAUGGGCGAAAGCCUGAUCCAGCCAUGCCGCGUGUGGGAAGAAGGGCUUCGGAUUGUAAAGCACUUGAAGUUGGGAGGCGGUACCAACAGAAUAAGCACCGGCUAACUUCGUGCCAGCAGCCGCGGUAAUAC